CAGAUGAUGUUUUGUUCUCGUUGAUCCACUGACGCCCUGCUGAGGCUACCAUUUUCCUGACC
rnacentral:snoRNA from 1 species